CAGCAGCCGCGGGAAUACGGAGGGUGCAAGCGUUAAUCGGAAUUACUGGGCGUAAAGCGCACGCAGGCGGUCUGACAAGUCAGAUGUGAAAUCCCCGGGCUUAACCUGGGAACUGCAUUUGUGACUGUAUAGCUAGAGUACGGCAGAGGGGGAUGGAAUUCCGCGUGUAGCAGUGAAAUGCGUAGAUAUGCGGAGGAACACCGAUGGCGAAGGCAAUCCCCUGGGCCUGUACUGACGCUCAUGCACGAAAGCGUGGGGAGCAAACAGGAUUAGAUACCCCGGUAGUCCCUGUCUCUUAUAC
rnacentral:rRNA from 1 species